rnacentral:rRNA from 1 species
AUCUGCGGCCAUACCCUCAUGAAAAUACUGCUUCCCGUCCGAUCAGCAAAGUCAAGCAUGAGAGGGAUUCGUUAGUACUAUCGUGGGAGACCAGAUGGGAAUCCGGAUUGCUGCAGUUCUCU